GGAAUUUUCCGCAAUGGGGGCAACCCUGACGGAGCAACGCCGCGUGGGGGAGGAAGGUCUGUGGAUUGUAAACUCCUUUUCUCAGGGAAGAAGCUCUGACGGUACCUGAGGAAUCAGCAUCGGCUAACUCCGUGCCAGCAGCCGCGGUAAGACGGAGGAUGCAAGCGUUAUCCGGAAUUAUUGGGCGUAAAGCGUCCGUAGGCGGUUUAUCAAGUCUGCCGUUAAAGACUGCAGCUUAACUGUGGGCCAGCGGUGGAAACUGAGGAACUAGAGUACGGUAGGGGUAGAGGGAAUUCCCAGUGUAGCGGUGAAAUGCGUAGAUAUUGGGAAGAACACCAGUGGCGAAGGCGCUCUACUGGGCCGUAACUGACGCUGAGGGACGAAAGCUAGGGGAGCGAAAGGGAUUAGAUA
rnacentral:rRNA from 1 species